rnacentral:tRNA from 1 species
GUAAAUAUAGUUUAAAAAAACAUUAGAUUGUGAAUCUAACAAUAGAAGCUUAUAUCUCCUUAUUUACC